UGAAACGUCGAGGAUUUAAUUAAAAAGCUCAUACGGUUGGCCACAUGUGCCUGAAAUAAUAUUGGGAGCUUGAGUCAAUAGUGUUUCAUUUCUGAUAGCGCAGAGGAAGUAUCUAGCUAUUGUACCGUCCAAUUCUUCUCCGAUAUCCGAUGAAUGGAGAAUAUCUGACCAGUAGUCAGUACAAAAAUUCCAUAAACAUUACAAAGUAUUUGGCCUUGUGUUCGACUAUUUAACAUUACUUUAUCCCCAUCUUGCGCUCUAUGAAACAACAUACCGUAACCACAUUGCGCAAGCGCGCGAACGAAUUGUCGAUGCGCGGGUAAUUUCUGUGUGUCAGUACUCAGUCUGGUUCUUGUAAGUGCGUGUGCAAAUUUUUGUUGCGGUCCGUAUUAAAGGCUGACAGAAAUAUCGACUGUGAGUUUAGUGAACCGAAUGUUACUUAAUUUGGGAACAGAAAAGAGUGCAUUUCCCAAUGACCACAACGAAUAUGAUCAACAGAAUUUGAAAUAUCAAACGAACAAAUAAAAACUGAUAUUUUCUUCAUCCAUAAAAGUUGCAUUUUGAACGUCUCCCACAAGAAUGCGAUGAGAUCUCGGUUCUCACCUUCAUUGUUACGCAUUAAUAAUUUCGCAACUGAUUAAACGGAACACCAGCCAACAAUGGAAACACCGUCUCUAUGCUAAUUAAACGCAAAUAUAUCACUUCUGUAAUUUAUCACGGUCUUCUGUUAUUCUGUCAAGGCUGCGACUAAACUUAGAAACAGGAAAAUGUUUCUCAGGUUUCUAGACAGUGCGUCAGGAACUUGAUUAGCAUAAAUUUAUAUUCAAGCUUUGUGAAUCAGCGGGUACAGGUGGUUCUAAAAGUUCAUUGUUAGACAUUCAUCAGCAGCCAACAAUUAAGGCUAU